AGACCCGAAACCCGGUGAUCUAGCCAUGGGCAGGUUGAAGGUUGGGUAACACUAACUGGAGGACCGAACCGACUAAUGUUGAAAAAUUAGCGGAUGACCUGUGGCUGGGGGUGAAAGGCCAAUCAAACCGGGAGAUAGCUGGUUCUCCCCGAAAGCUAUUUAGGUAGCGCCUCGUGAAUUCAUCUCCGGGGGUAGAGCACUGUUUCGGCUAGGGGGCCAUCCCGGCUUACCAACCCGAUGCAAACUGCGAAUACCGGAGAAUGUUAUCACGGGAGACACACGGCGGGUGCUAACGUCCGUCGUGAAGAGGGAAACAACCCAGACCGCCAGCUAAGGUCCCAAAGUCAUGGUUAAGUGGGAAACGAUGUGGGAAGGCCCAGACAGCCAGGAUGUUGGCUUAGAAGCAGCCAUCAUUUAAAGAAAGCGUAAUAGCUCACUGGUCGAGUCGGCCUGCGCGGAAGAUGUAACGGGGCUAAACCAUGCACCGAAGCUGCGGCAGCGACACUGUGUGUUGUUGGGUAGGGGAGCGUUCUGUAAGCCUGUGAAGGUGGCCUGUGAGGGUUGCUGGAGGUAUCAGAAGUGCGAAUGCUGACAUAAGUAACGAUAAAGCGGGUGAAAAGCCCGCUCGCCGGAAGACCAAGGGUUCCUGUCCAACGUUAAUCGGGGCAGGGUGAGUCGACCCCUAAGGCGAGGCCGAAAGGCGUAGUCGAUGGGAAACGGGUUAAUAUUCCCGUACUUGGUGUUACUGCGAAGGGGGGACGGAGAAGGCUAUGUUGGCCGGGCGACGGUUGUCCCGGUUUAAGCGUGUAGGUGUGUGUUCCAGGUAAAUCCGGUUCACUUUAACACUGAGGCGUGAUGACGAGGCACUACGGUGCUGAAGCAACAAAUGCCCUGCUUCCAGGAAAAGCCUCUAAGCAUCAGGUAACAUCAAAUCGUACCCCAAACCGACACAGGUGGUCAGGUAGAGAAUACCAAGGCGCUUGAGAGAACUCGGGUGAAGGAACUAGGCAAAAUGGUGCCGUAACUUCGGGAGAAGGCACGCUGACAC
rnacentral:rRNA from 1 species